CUACUAAAAGAUGGUUUCAAGGGGAAGAUUUUUCAUCAUCUUUGUCAGCUCAAGCUACGUGGGGGAAUAAAGACCAUACUCCAGUGAGCUGUGUGAUAUAUAUGCAGUUCGCUACUAUUUUGUGCCCUGAAAG
rnacentral:snoRNA from 1 species